AGGAUAGUAGCUUCCAUAGUGAGAUUCUAACCGAGCUGAAACUUAACUCAAAACUAAUGAUGUUGCAGACAUUGUUAUGCUGUGUAUUUCUGUGGAUGUCAUGUAAGUUAAGGAAAAUAUUCUCUAAUCAUGUUUUUUUUUGUUUUAAAUAAAUACAGAGUUUAAUCCUUUCUAUCUUUACAGAUGUUCGCUCUCAGACGCCAGUACUAAGUCCUCCAGUUGCAUCUGUUGGUUCUGGACAAAGCUUCACUUUUAAUUGCAUCGUAGGAGUCAAGGAUUCCAAUUCAAUGGCUUUCCUUAAACAAUCAGAGGGUGAGCCUCCAAAGCUCAUUUUCAAAAACUAUCACUCAUACCAAUCUCCUGUGUAUGGACCAGAUAUGUCCUCAACUCACUACACUGGCUCAAUAAACAGCGCAGGAACUGAAUAUCAAUUGAUUAUUAAAAACACAGAUAUUACAGAUACUUCACUGUAUCACUGUGUUAAGUUCUAUACAAGUCUUAAUGGAUG